AGAGUUUGAUCCUGGCUCAGGACGAACGCUGGCGGCGUGCCUAACACAUGCAAGUCGAGCGGAGCCAUCCGACGGAACCCUUCGGGGGUGAAGUCGGUGAAGCUUAGCGGCGGACGGGUGAGUAACGCGUGAGUAACCUGCCCUUGAGAGGGGAAUAACACACCGAAAGGUGUGCUAAUACCGCAUAACAUACUUUGACCGCAUGAUCGAAGUAUCAAAGAUUUAUCGCUCAAGGAUGGACUCGCGUCUGAUUAGAUAGUUGGUGAGGUAACGGCUCACCAAGUCGACGAUCAGUAGCCGAACUGAGAGGUUGAUCGGCCACAUUGGGACUGAGACACGGCCCAGACUCCUACGGGAGGCAGCAGUGGGGAAUAUUGCGCAAUGGGGGCAACCCUGACGCAGCAACGCCGCGUGAAGGAUGAAGGUCUUCGGAUUGUAAACUUUUGUCUUGAGGGACGAACAAGGACGGUACCUCAGGAGGAAGCCCCACGGCUAACUACGUGCCAGCAGCCGCGGU
rnacentral:rRNA from 1 species